rnacentral:rRNA from 1 species
AUUGAACGCUGGCGGCAGGCCUAACACAUGCAAGUCGAGCGGAUGAAGGGAGCUUGCUCCUGGAUUCAGCGGCGGACGGGUGAGUAAUGCCUAGGAAUCUGCCUGGUAGUGGGGGAUAACGUCCGGAAACGGGCGCUAAUACCGCAUACGUCCUGAGGGAGAAAGUGGGGGAUCUUCGGACCUCACGCUAUCAGAUGAGCUUAGGUCGGAUUAGCUAGUUGGUGGGGUAAAGGCCUACCAAGGCGACGAUCCGUAACUGGUCUGAGAGGAUGAUCAGUCACACUGGAACUGGGACACGGUCCAGACUCCUACGGGAGGCAGCAGUGGGGAAUAUUGGACAAUGGGCGAAAGCCUGAUCCAGCCAUGCCGCGUGUGUGAAGAAGGUCUUCGGAUUGUAAAGCACUUUAAGUUGGGAGGAAGGGCAGUAAGUUAAUACCUUGCUGUUUUGACGUUACCAACAGAAUAAGCACCGGCUAACUUCGUG